rnacentral:rRNA from 1 species
UACGGGGGGGGCAAGCGUUGUUCGGAAUUACUGGGCGUAAAGGGCUCGUAGGCGGCCAACUAAGUCAGACGUGAAAUCCCCAGGCUCAACCUGGGAACUGCGUCUGAUACUGGAUGGCUUGAAUCCGGGAGAGGGAUGCAGAAUUCCAGGUGUAGCGGUGAAAUGCGUAGAUAUCUGGAGGAACACCGAUGGCGAAGGCAAUCCCCUGGACCUGUACUGACGCUCAUGCACGAAAGCGUGGGGAGCAAACAGG